UACGGGGGGGGCAAGCGUUGUUCGGAAUUACUGGGCGUAAAGGGCUCGUAGGCGGCCAACUAAGUCAGACGUGAAAUCCCUCGGCUUAACCGGGGAACUGCGUCUGAUACUGGAUGGCUUGAGUUCGGGAGAGGGAUGCGGAAUUCCAGGUGUAGCGGUGAAAUGCGUAGAUAUCUGGAGGAACACCGGUGGCGAAGGCGGCAUUCUGGACCGAAACUGACGCUGAGGCGCGAAAGCCAGGGGAGCAAACGGG
rnacentral:rRNA from 1 species